rnacentral:lncRNA from 1 species
AUGAAAUGCCAAGAGAAGAUGUUUAUUAUUCAUUCUCUCAGGGCUUUGCAUGUUUCAGAAGCUGGCCCUACCCUUCCUCUUGGCUUGUUUGAUCACAAAGCAACCUUGAUAGAACAUCUGUUUCUCCAUCACAAGGCAAUUGAUUCCAGAUGGUAAAGUCCGAUCAUUUAAGAACGAUUGAUGGAGAUAUUUUUUAAAAUGGAUUUGUGUUGGUUCUGGAUUGUGCAUGUUUUGGAAGGUAAGCCAAAGUGUUAAAUUUAAAGUAUUACAUUGAAAUUUGACAGAUAUAUUUUAUGUAUUCCAUUUUUUAAUCUAAAUACUGGAAAGAAAAAAAACCAGAGGUUGCAUUCAUGAAAUACUAGGAUAGAGCAAGUAUUUUUCCAAACUAGUGAACUUUGAAAUGUUGGAAAUUCUGAAGCCAUGAAAAACCCAGACUGAACAUUAAUUUAUUUUAAUCAGUUCCAAAGGAAAAAAUCGCUUGUCCAUAGUGAAGUUUUCACUUGAAAGGAGCUUUUAUAGAGCAAGCUUUUGGUUUCUUAAAUGGUGUCAUAUAGUGACAUGUUGAUUUGGUAUGCAAGAAAAUGGAACGGUGUGGCGGAGUCAUAUACUGUGUAAUGGCGGAGGACUAAGAAGAAAAGAAAAAAGUGAGUUUCAUGUGUAAAUGCUGUGACUGUGCCAUAUGAUGUCCCAGUUCACUCUAUUUAGGAGAUGAUU